UUGGAGGGCAAGUCUGGUGCCAACAGCCGCGGUAAUUCCAGCUCCAAUAGCGUAUAUUAAAGUUGUUGCAGUUAAAAAGCUCGUAGUUGAAUUUCGGGAUCAGUAAGUUGGUCGUGCCUCCGGUAUGCACUGGCUUUACUGGUUCCUCCUUCUUGAAGAACUGUAAUGUCAUUAAUUUGGUGUUGCAGGGAAACAGGACUGUUACUUUGAAAAAAUUAGAGUGUUUAAAGCAGGCUAACGCUUGAAUACAUUAGCAUGGAAUAAUGAAAUAGGACGUUUGAUCCUAUUUUGUUGGUUUCUAGGAUUGACGUAAUGAUUAAUAGGGAUAGUUGGGGGCAUUAGUAUUCAAUUGUCAGAGGUGAAAUUCUUGGAUUUAUUGAAGACUAACUACUGCGAAAGCAUUUGCCAAGGAUGUUUUCAUUAAUCAAGAACGAAAGUUAGGGGAUCGAAGACGAUCAGAUACCGUCGUAGUCUUAACCAUAAACUAUGCCGACUAGGGAUCGGAUGAUGUUAAUUUUUUAAUGACUCAUUNCGGCGCCUUACGGGAAAC
rnacentral:rRNA from 1 species